rnacentral:rRNA from 1 species
GGAUGUGAUGGGGAGCGAAAUUUAGUAGCGAAGUAGCUGAUUUCACACUGUCAAGAAAAGUCUCUAUCGAGGUUAAAGGUACCCGUACCGCAAACCGACACAGGUGGGUGAGGAGAGUAUCCUAAGGCCAGCGAGAGAACUGUUGUUAAGGAACUCGGCAAAAUGACCCCGUAACUUAGGGAUAAGGGGUGCCACCAUCAGGUGGCCGCAGAGAAUAGGCCCAAGCGACUGUUUACCAAAAACAUAGGUUUCUGCUAAGUCGCAAGACGAUGUAUAGGAGCUGACGCCUGCCCGGUGCUGGAAGGUUAAGGGGAUCUGUUAGAGCAAUCGAAGCAGUGAACUUAAGCCCCAGUAAACGGCGGCCGUAACUAUAACGGUCCUAAGGUAGCGAAAUUCCUUGUCGGGUAAGUUCCGACCCGCACGAAAGGCGUAACGAUUUGGGCACUGUCUCAACAACAGACUCGGUGAAAUUGUAAUUCCGGUGAAGAUGCCGGAUACCUGCGACAGGACGGAAAGACCCCAUGGAGCUUUACUGUAGCUUGACAUUGGGUCUUGGUACUACAUGUACAGGAUAGGUGGGAGGCUUUGAAACCAGGACGCCAGUUUUGGCGGAGCCAUCCUUGGGAUACCACCCUUGUAGUACUGGGACUCUAACCAUAGGCCAUGAAUCUGGUCUUGGGACACUGUCAGGUGGGCAGUUUGACUGGGGCGGUCGCCUCCCAAAAGGUAACGGAGGCGCUCAAAGGUUCUCUCAGUACGGUCGGAAAUCGUACGUAGAGUGUAAAGGCAAAAGAGAGCUUGAUUGCAAGACAUACAGGUCGAGCAAGGAUGAAAAUCGGACUUAGUGAUCCGGUGGUUCUGCGUGGAAGGGCCAUCGCUCAACGGAUAAAAGCUACCCUGGGGAUAACAGGCUUAUCUCCCCCAAGAGUCCACAUCGACGGGGAGGUUUGGCACCUCGAUGUCGGCUCAUCACAUCCUGGGGCUGUAGUAGGUCCCAAGGGUUGGGCUGUUCGCCCAUUAAAGUGGUACGCGAGCUGGGUUCAGAACGUCGUGAGACAGUUCGGUCCCUAUCCGUCGCAGGCGUAGGAAAUUUGAGAAGACCUGUCCUUAGUACGAGAGGACCGGGAUGGACGUACCUCUGGUGUACCAGUUGUCCUGCCAAG